rnacentral:SRP_RNA from 1 species
GGUCAGGAACCAUGCGAGCAGUUACCGCCUAACCCCGCCAGGUUCGGAAGGAAGCAACGGUAAGCGGAGGAUUGUUGCGCCGUGGCCCUCCUGACUCUG